GCUGCUGCUGCUGCUUCCAGUGCUGCUUAAUUUCACAAAUCAUUAGCUCCUGCUUGUGAACGGUAGUAGCCCAACACAGAAAACCUAGCUUUCUUCAUAAUGCACUGCUCAAUCUCCGGCGAGGUGCCGGAAGAGCCCGUGGUCUCGAAGAAGUCUGGGCUUUUAUAUGAGAAGCGUUUAAUCGAGAGGCACAUAUCCGAUUAUGGAAAAUGCCCAAUUACUGGGGAACCACUUACAAUGGAUGACAUUGUUCCGGUCAAAACAGGCAAGAUUGUGAAACCAAGAACUGUGCAGACUGCUAGCAUCCCUGGGAUGCUUGGAAUGUUCCAGAAUGAAUGGGAUGGUCUGANNNNNNUUGCUUUGGAGCAACAACUACAUACUGCAAGGCAAGAGCUAAGCCAUGCAUUAUACCAGCAUGAUGCUGCUUGCCGAGUGAUUGCAAGGCUUAAAAAGGAAAGGGAUGAAGCAAGGCUAUUACUUGCACAAGCUGAGAGGCAAAUGCCUAUGUUAGCAACAGCAGCUGCUACAGCUAAUGCCUCUGCUCUUAGCAAUGGAAAAAGAGCUGCUGAGGACGGUGAUUUGGGGCCACCUGGAAAGAGAGCACAUGCUGGAAUUUCUGACAUCAUUACUAAGUUAACAGACUGUAAUGCGGCUCUUUCACAACAGCGGAAAAAGCGGCAGAUUCCUCCAACAUUGUCUCCUGUUGAUGCUUUAGAGAGGUACACACAGCUUUCCAGUCAUCCCCUUCACAAAACCAGCAAGCCAGGCAUUGUCUCUAUUGAUAUCCAUUACCCUAAGGACAUCAUUGCUACUGGAGGCGUUGAUUCCACUGCAGUACUUUUUGAUCGCCUAUCAGGACAGAUCCUAUCUACACUAAGUGGUCACUCAAAGAAGGUCACCAGUGUGAAAUUUGUUGCAGAGGGUGAUUUAUUUUUAACUGGAUCUGCAGACAAGACUGUUCGCAUAUGGCAAGGAUCUGAAGAUGGAAACUAUGACUGCAGACACAUCUUGAAGGAUCAUACUGCUGAGGUAAAUGCUGUCACUGUCCAUGCCACCAACGACUACUUUGUGACUGCUUCUCUCGAUAAUACAUGGUGCUUCUAUGAUCUCUCCUCUGGCUCAUGCUUGACACAGGUCUCUGACACUUCAAAAUCUGACACUUCUAAACCUGAGGGCUAUACAUCUGCAGCUUUUCAUCCUGAUGGUCUCAUCCUUGGAACAGGCACCUCAGAAGCCGUUGUUAAAAUUUGGGAUGUAAAAAGCCAG
rnacentral:misc_RNA from 1 species